CAACAAGCGGCUGCUCGUGAGUCUGUUUCUCGCACACCGGGGCGCCCACCCUCGCCGCGCGAGCACUUGGGGGGCCGGGGGGUUCUGGGGGUUGACCCGGCGCAAGCUUGCGUUCAGGCCAGAAGCUAAUGGCUGUCGGGGAGGAAAGGGGGUACCUGACUCUCCAUCCUAAGGGUUACCUGGAGGUUGGGAGGGAGGGAGAGAGCGGGCGUCCGGGGAAGCAGACGGCCUCCCGCCAUUCUCUUUGGUAGGGCAGAUGUUUAGAACCGCUGUCUUCAAAGUGAAUAAAAAGUCACUUUGUAACACUGCCCACCUCAAAGAAGCAUAAGGAGUAAUUAACUGACAAGACAGCGUUACUUAGAUAGUUAUGCAAGAACUGGGCCACGGGACUUGCACCCUUAACCUCAUUUGAACCCUUAUCAGUGGCUCAGGAUGUAACCAUGUGACGGCUGCUGCCAUCUCUGCCACCACCUGGCGCUCUGUUCGGGGGCUAGCUUCGAGAUAAGGAAGGCCUUGCUCUAGUAAAUCAACAACAGCACGCUCCAGUGCACCAAACUUACCUUGCUGCAGGACCAGGCGGCAAGGAUAUGGGCUCAUUCCUUGGGUGCAACAAAUUAAACAUAUCUAAAACUAAGCUCAUAACAUCUUUCCCUACAACCUUGUAUUGGUCAUUUCAUUAACUAGCCAGGAAACUGGGAGGCAUCAUGGACGCCUGCCAUUCCUGAGCCCCUGGAGUUCCCUGGGGCAUGAGUAUUGUUUCCAGUGUUCUGGGCCCCUACACUCAUAAAGCAUAGAAUGAAUUUCACUCUGUUCUCAUGCCCCUGGUGAAAUGUCGCUGCAGACCAAAAAUAUAAAUACGAACCCCAAAUCCACGUGGUAUUGAUAUACACAGUCAAGAUAUAUUUCUUAGCCCUUUGAUGAGAUGCUUCUAGUGGAAAAUGGAUCAAUAUAACAAAAUAUAACCUCUUUGAAAGUCUCUGGAAAAAAGUAACCUUUGCCAUACCAAGGAAAUCUGAGGAAACACCUUGAUCUAAUACAAAAACCAUUGUUGCAACAGUCUUGUAUAAUGAAACCAGAAUGAUCUCCUCAGUGAGGCAUGCUUGUGUUUUACCUGUGGAAUGGAACAUCCUAAAGGAAGAUCUCCCUGGAUGCAUCAGGACCAAUUUCUUUUCAAGGAGUCGAGUAAGGACAUGUAGAGAUGGAUCUCUCCAUGAAUGGAACUCAACUAAGGAAGAAAUUGAAAGACACAUUCCAGGGUAACUCCUUUCAAAUGGGUUUUUUACUUAUUUUUCUAAUAAAUGAGAAUAGUUUCAUCAAAUAAUCAUUCAAGUAACAAACAUGUAGUAACUGCCCAAGAACUUUUCUCAGCACUGGGACUACAGUAGUGCACAAAACAAAUGAAAAAUCUCUGCCUUCCAAGUUUUCUUACAGUCUGUACAUCAGCAUGUUAAUUUCCAUUUGCAUCGUCCCAGUCAUUGCACCCACAUCACCUCCAUCUAUAAUCACAGCCUUUAGAACUGUACGUUAAAGUUAAGAAUAUAGAAUAUGAUGGCACACCAACUAAAGCAUUGCAUAUUUAUGGCUGUGAUGAAAUCAGUAGCCCCUCAUCUGUCUGUCAGUGGAUGCCCUGAUUUUCUCCACAGUAUCACUGGUACCACUUCUGUCCUGACCACUAAGGCUCUCCUUCAUGGUGCUGUAAUUCAGGGGUUAUAAAAUCACGGAAGGCGAGUGUUCCACACUUGCCAGAGCAGUUGACCAAUACAGAGCCAUAGAUGAGAGUUCCGCAUUGCAAAGAAUCUUAUUGUGAAGUCCAUGUUGAAUAAACAUACAGCCAAGUUCGAUUUUAGUUGAGACCAUAGAACGGUGAAGAUGUUGAAAAAGACUUCGAUCAAAGUUCAAAGAUCAUAGGCACCAAGUUGGUGAAAUUCUUGACUAUUACCUCAUGUAAUGGUUUCUUCCGUUUUACUAGAAACUCUGAAAUGAGGUUCAUUUUGUUGCAAUUAUUCUCUGAAAAUCACCAAUUUAAAUUGAGUAAUAUACAUUGCCCAAUCCUUAGUAAUAAAUAUUUAUUUUGUCCUGUUCUUCUGAUGAAAUAAGGGAAAAAAUACUGUUUAAAAUUGCCAGGAUAUAUGUGUGCGUGUGUGUGUGAGGAAGAGAGAGAGUUUUUCUUCUCCAAAAGGAAGGCUUUCAACUUUGAAAACUUCAUAAAUUGUUUUCUGCUAUAAUUUCUCUGUUCCAUCGCAAGUGGCUUUGAAAUAUUAUUUCUCUAUGGUGAGAAAGUAGUGCUUUUACUUUUAAAGUCAGAAGGAAAAAGUAUCUAUAGCUUUGCCUUGAAAUUCUUUAGAAAGAAUUACUAUAGUAGUUUUGAAUAUUAAAAAUAUUUUAAAUAAGAAAUAAAUUUCAAAUUUGUAAUGUAAAUUCAGUAAGCCACGUGAUUUACUGAAUCUGAAUAUUUAAAGAACUUUUCGUUACAGCUUCCACUGUUUCUCCAUAAGUGCCUCACUCGCAGCAUAUGAAGCUUGGUGGCAUUCAGUGUGUCCUCUUUGUCCCCAAACUUCCUAGUGGUUUGAAUGAUACAUCUUUAUUCUAUUUGAAAAUGUUUCAAAACUUGCCAAUCAGAAAGACAGAAGAGCAUCAUAAAACAAAGGAUUGAGAGUAUUUUUAAAUUCUCUCAUUUGCUAGAAAAUCUCCUCUCCGCUAAAUCCAAAAUGUGCCUGACAAUUCAUAUAUACAGCUUUUGGCACUCCCUCCUUAACCUUGGAGGCACCUCUGUGACAUUUCCCACCCGUGUUUAUAGAGCUCCAGGAUGCUCCAGACGGUCUGAGAGCUGCUGUGAAGACAGUAAGGACAAGACAGGCCCCUGCUCUCACGGAGCUUACAUUCCAGUGGGGGUGAUGUCAACAGACAGACAGACAAGCAAACCAAUAGAAUGGUUACAGAUUUGUAUUAGUGUUCUGAGGGAAAUAACCAGAGCUUCGAUAGAAAAUACUGGGGCAUCUAGGUGGUCAAAGAAGGUUCCUCAAAGAAAAUGACAUUUAAGCCAAGACUUGAAGAAUAAGAGGACACUGUAUUAGUUUCCUAGGGUUGCCAUAACAAAGAACCUCAAACUAGAUGGCUUAAAUAACAUAAAUUUAUUCUCUUACCAUUAGGGAGGCUAGAAGUGCAAGAUCAAGGUGUCCAUAGGGUUGGUUCCUUCCGAGGGUUGUCAGGGAACAAUCUGUUCCAUGCCUCCUGGCUUCUGGUGGUUUGCCAGCAAUCUUGGGCAUUCUUUGUCUGUAGACAUAUCACUCUGAUCUCUGCCUUCAUCUUCACAUGGUGUUCUCCCUGCGUGUGUGUCUGUGUGCAAAUUUCCCUGUUUUAUAAGGACGCUAGGCAUAUUGGAUUAGGGGCCCACUGUACUCCAGUAUGAUCUCAUCUUAACUAAUUACAUCUGGAAAGACCUAUUUCACAUAAGGUCACAUUCUUAGGUUCUGGGAAUUAGGACUUCAACAUAUGAAUUUGUAGGGGGAUACAGUUCAAUCCGUAACAGAUACCCAUUGAGCAAGGAAGCCCCUAGGCAGAGGAAAGAGUGGGGACAAAAGCCCUAAGAAGCAAAAGGGUCUGGUGGGGCCAGCCCGGUGGUGUAGUGAGUAAGUUUGCAUGCUCCACUUCCACAGCCUAGGAGUUACAGGUUCAGAUUCCAGUCGCGGACCUAGCACCAUUUGUCAAGUCACGCUAUGGCAGCAUCCCACAUAAAAUAGAGGAAGAUUGGCACAGAUGUUAGCUCAGAGCGAGGCUUCCUCACCAAAAAAAAAAAAGGGUCUGAUAUGUGCUGGAAACUGAAGGAAGGUGAGUAUGACUUUAGAGUUGUGAGUGAGGGUAAGAGAGGCACAGGCAGAAGCCAGGUGGGCAGAGGCCGGAUCAAGGAGUUUGGGUUUAUUCUAAUAUCAAUGAGAAGAUUUUGAAGGGUUCUGUGGUUUUAAAAGGUCACCCUAUAAAUUUCUCAGUUGUCUCCUCAGCAUCAAUGAAAUGAGAGGAUUUCUUAAUUUGUUGAUUUCUUAGAGGAAUUUGCAACUGUUCUCUCAUUGCUCUCUCAGUUCAUUACUGAUGAAUUUGCAGAGGAAAUACAAUGCAUUUAUGAUAUUCUGAAACAGUUUAGUCUUUUUGAUUCCAUUUUUGAAUUCCUAAGUUAAAAUAUUUAUUUCCCUUUAACUUUCUCUCUGAUUUUCAUCUUCAUAAAUGAAGUAAAUUUUACAUCAUUUUUUCACUCCCUCAAAAACUUUUCCUUAAAAAUAAAACAAAGAAGAUACAUUCAACUGUGGAUCCCAGGCACACACUUUUCCUCAGACUGUUUUGAGUGAACAGUGAUAAUUUUCAGAGAUUGUGUAACCACAAAAUCAAUAUUCAUUCCAAAAUUUAAUGGUUUCAAAUGUAUUUCACUUUGUUGAUUUCUAAAAAUUUUCAGAUUUUUUUCCAUCACAAACUCCUUAUGUAAUAAACAGUUUCCACAGAACUGAAUUUUUGUUGACAGAACAAUCAGCAUAAAUAAAAGCAUGAUUUGCCUUAACUGUUUUGUAAUUUGAAAACAAAUAUUACUUUAAACAGCCCAUCACAUAUUUUCUCAACCUCAAGCUGUGGAUCCUGGUUUUCGGCACCACUCCUCUCUUGACAACCAAAAAAGAUCCACUUUUUUCUGUUUUACAUAUUGAGGUUCUGAGUAAGAUUUCAUGUAGGGAAAAGGUUCUGUUGCUUAAAAAAAUAGGGAAUAAAUCAAAGUCACAAAUACUUGCUUUUAGUUUUACUUCAUUUUGAUAUAAUUGGAGAUAAGAAAGAAAAGACAACCAACCAUGGGUGAAAAACCGUAAGACUGAAGGAGAGACAGAAAUAUGGACACCGAGUAGUUGAAGCGUGUGUGAGCAUCCACACAGUUGAGUUGGUUCCCGUUGGGUAGCCAGGCCGGGGCAACCACAGUAGAACACCAACAUUAUAGGUUCAUCAUCGCUUGAGUUGCUCAAAUUGUCUCCAUAUUUCUUUGUUUUUAUUUGCUAUCUUGAUGAGAACUUUUUACCUUUUCAGCGAUGCAGAACCAACAGAAUCAUGACCACUUGUUUCACAAUGUGUGCGGUUAAUGUCAUGCUUUUAUGACUAAUGGACAAAUCUUUUGCUCUCAUUGAGAAACUGGAGGAACAUUGCCCUAACGCUGUCAUCUUUCUCAAUGCUCAUAAAUAUCUUGCCACAUAUACGCUUUUCCUUUUGUUGAUAUUUUUGCGUAUGAUAAACUUCAGAUAAGCAUGAUAGUAGGAAAUAUUUAUGCUACAUUGAGGGUAAAAGGAAAAUAAAGUUUUAUAUGUACAGAUGACCACCCUGAAGAUGUUCACAUAAAUAAGACCAAAGGGAACUAAAUCAAAACAUUAAUAGUGAUUGUCUCUGAGUAAUGGAACUGUGGAUAAUUUUUUUGUCCUAUUGAAAAAUUAACAUUUUUAAGAAUAGAGUUUUACUUUUAUUAAAGUAAAAUUUUAAGUAAUACUUUUAUAGGUGAUUUCAGAAAAUUAUUUCUUGAUAUGCUUGUGAUUUUUAUAUAAAUAACUUGUAAGUUUUAGCUAGUUUGUUCCAUAGUACUUCAAGAAAGAAUGCACUAAUUAAUACAUCUUAUAUCUUACACUACAUUCUUUUAAGAAUUUUUAAAUUUAGGCCUCUUUAAUUUACAUAGAAGAUAAUUUUUUCCAGUUUUAUUGAGAAAAAAUUGACAUAUACAUCACUGUAUAAGGCAUACAUAUGCAUGAUGGUUUAAUUUACAUAUAUUGUGAAAUGAUAUCAUAAUAGAUUCCACUAACAUCCAUCAUCUUAUAUGGAUACAAUAAAAAGAAAAAAAGUUUUCCUCCUUCUGGUGAGAACUCUUAGGGUUUACUCGCUUAGCAACUUUCCUGUAUGUCACACAGCAGUGUUAACUGUAGUCAUCACGUUGUACAUUACAUCCCUAGGACUUAUUUAUCUUUUAACUGGAAAUUUGUACCUUUUGACCACCUUCCUCCAAUUCCCUGUCUCUCCACUCUCUGCCUCUGGCAAACACCUGUCUUAUCUCUUUUUAUGAGUUUGGUGUUUGGUUUUUUUUUUUUUAGAUUCCACAUAUAAGUGAGAUCACACAGUAUUUAUCUUUCUCUGUCUGACUUAUUUCACUUAGCAUAAUGCCUUCAAGGUCCAUCCAUGUUGUUGCAAAUGGUAGGAUUUCUUCAUUUUUUAUGGUUGAAUAAUAUUCCAUUAUGUGUGUGUGUGUGUGUGUGUGUGUGUGUACACAAAAUUAAAUUACAAAGAAAUAUAUGAUUUCUUUAUCCAUUCAUCCAUCGAUGAACACUUAUGUUGCUUCCAUGUCUUGGCUAUUGUAGAGAAUGCUGCAAUGAACACGGGGGUACAGGUAUCUUUUUGAGUUAGUGUUUUCAUUUCCUUUGGAUAUAGUCCCAGAAGUGGAAUUGCUGGAUCAUGUGGUAGUUCUAUUUUUAAUUUUUUAAGGCUCCUCCAUACUGUUUUCCAUAGUUGCUGCACCGGUUUACAGUGGAACCAACACUGCACAAGGUUCCCUUUCUCCACAUCCUGGCCAGCAUUUAUCUCUUGUCUUUUUGAUGAUGGCCAUUCUAACAGGCAUGAGGUGAUAUCUCAUUGUGGUUUUAAUUUCUGUUUCCCUAAUGACUAGUGAUGUUGAGUAUCUUUUCAUGUACCUGUUGGCCUUUCGUAUGUCUAGAAGAUAAUUUUUUCCUACAAGUGCUCUGUAGUUUCUCCUAGUCUUUGAUAAAAAUAUUCAUUUUUAAGACACAUUUUUGUUUUUCUCUUAGCAGUGCAAAUAUUGACUCUCCAAAGGAACGUGUAAGAACCAACUUGUCAAUUGGUGUGUCUCCGGAUCAGUAGCUGUUAAAAAGUGAUACAGCCCUUGAUCAUUAUUAAAGUUUAAAUAAUCUUUUGCUUUGAUUCGCAUCAGGUUUUAAAUAUGAUGCUUGAGAAAGAUUGAGAGUAAGAGAAAUCUAUAGCAACUAAAAAAUCCUUUCUAAUUGUAAAUUUUCAUUUCACUUAUAUGCAAAUUUCAGUUACUGUGUUCUUAGCAAUCGAAUUCUUAGAUCACAAACAUGAAUGAGGACUCUAAGAAAAAUAUCAAACUUUUAUGUGAAAUUUGUUCUUUCUGCCUUUCUUCUUUCUGGCACUUUCAUAUUUAGUCAUCAUAUUUCCUAUUUUGCUUGCUUAAUUGCCACAUACAACAAGAUUAGCCGACGGGGAAAGAAAACAUCUCAUUUGAGGGCAGUGAAGGAAAGGCCCUUUCUCUCUCUCUCUCUCUCACACACACACACACACACACACACACACUGGAGGAGGGUUAUCUGCAUGCAGAUGCUCAUUUGGAAUUCAGAACAUUUUUUCCUGCAGAAAUAAGAAACUAUAAUAGUAUAAGUAUAUAGUUUACCUUCAUUAUAAGUUAAAAUAAGAGUUUGUGGGCUGGCCUGGAAAUACACCAUUUUAUAACGUUGUACACAUGGGAGAAUUUCACUCUGAAAUCUAAACGGCUGUUUUCAAAAGAAACUAUUAGAGCACACUGCGUUGUCUGGGUCUGGCUCUGCCCGCCCUCCGCCCUGCUCAGGGCUGUGCUCAGCAGCAUGGAGAAGACAAGGAAGAAAGAGACCUGGUUCCUGAUCUCAAGGCAUUUGCAGUUGACAUUGAGAGACAGGGCCGACAACGAAAAGAUGAUUAUUACAAGAGGGAAAUGGUAUGCGUCCCCUCUCCCAAGUAACAUUGGAAUACAUUCAUUUAUCUGUUCAUUCAGCAUCUGUUUCUUGACUUUACAGUAAUUAUCUCUCUUUUUUAUAUUUUAAAUGAUAUUUCUAAUGUAAAUAAUACAUGAUUUCCAUAGACUGUUAGAGCAACACAGACUUAUUUGUAGUGACAAAAUCAGAAAGAACUUGAAUGUCUGCUGGCAACUGAAGGAUUGAAUAAAGUAUGGUUGAUCAUCCUAUGGAAUGUUAUGCACCAAUAAAAAACAAAUUAAGAAUGUUUGUUGAUCUGGAGAGGGGACCAGGAUGCAUUAUAAAGAAUAAAAAUAAAGAUGCAAAGAAAUAUUCAUAUUAUGAUCUUUUUGCAAACACAACAGUGACCCCCCCUCCCCCAAAAAAAGUUUGAAUUAAAAAGUAUAAAGGGGGGGACCAGCCAGGUGGCAUAGUGGUUAAGCUUACGCACUCUGCUUUGGUGGCCUGGGGUUCACAGGUUCAGAUCCUGGGCACAGACCUAGCACCACCCACAUAAAAAACAUACAGGCAGACUGGCACAGAUGUUAGCUCAGCAACAAUCUUCCUCACAAAAAAAGGAAAAAAAAAAGGAUAAGGGUGUAUACACAAAGCUGUUAAUAUUGGUCACCUUGAGGACAGGUGGGUUACUAAUGUUUUUCUUCAUUUAUCUUCAUCUUGGGGGAAAAAAUGAUAAUUUUAAAACAAAAUGAAAAUUUGGAAAUACAGAGUGGAUUAAAGAGAAAAAUUAAAAUCACUUUGAUUUGAUUUCUAUUAUGUUAAAUGUGUGUGUGUGUGUGUGUGUGUGAACUGCCCUGGAUAAUUAAUUCGAAAUGAUUUUUCUUGACCAUCACUAUGUUUAUGUCAACUCAGGGGCCUCCUGGCAAGACUGCUUUAACCCAAAGCCACCCAGUAGACCCACGAUGGAGACCCCUUUAAGCAGGCAGGCGGGACGUACUCACAGGAAGGAAGCAAGCAGCUGGUGGGGACUGGCCCACUGAAUACACUUUAAGAAAGUGCUGGGGGCAUUUCUGCUCGACAGUACUUGGAAGCCCGUUAUGCUGGUUCAGUGGCCUCUGGAAAAGUCACUCCUGUGAGCUCAGCCUGAUGACCAGUCCUCAAAGACUCUUCCUGUGUGACACCGAGAUACUAAGGUGGGGGAGGAUUGCAGCUGGACUUAAGAGAAACUUUUGGAAGAAGAGACAAAAAGAAACCAUCCAUUUGGAGCAAGGUCACUGAAGCCAAGUACCAAGUAGCACCAACCCCUCCCAUCCUGCCACCAGUCCCCGUGAAUUUAAAGGAGUCUGCAGUCAUGCAGCCCUUUCUGAGUUAGCACCCUAAGCCCACCUGUAUCCAGUCAGCGUCCAGGGACUCCAGAAGCUCUCAAUACUUUGCAAAGAGGAAAUAUUCAACAGAUUCAUUCAACAAAUAUUUGUGGAGUGCCUGCACUAAGACACAGGGUUUUAGGGUAAAGAUAGUUGGCUUGGAUAUUAGCCCAAUAAAAUUAACCAUUGGACUAUCAGUGGGAACCCCAGAGAUAGAUAUUCAACAUGAGCCCGAACUAAAAAUACAACUCAUUUCCUAUGUUGUGGAGUUUUUUUUACUUCUUUGCUUUAAAAGUUAGAUCAAUAUGAGUAUAGCCUUUCACUGUAAACUGAGCUCUGGACAUCUGUAUGUAACUCUCAGUGGAAGGCUCACCGAGAAGUCUGUCAGAGCAGCUCUUUAAUCUCAUCAUGUUUAAACCUGAACUUGUUGUCUUCCCUCCAAAUCUGUAUGUCGGCUAUGAAUCACUCUUACGUGCCUCUGUUCCCUUGCUUCCAAGAUCCGAUCAAUCUCCACAUCACACCACUUCUACCUUUUGAACAUCAUUCAAACAAAAGUGACCUACACUACAGAAGUGAUCUCUUCUGUAGACAAUCUAUCAGGCAAUCACAGAUGGGUACUAUUAUUCUCAUCCCCAUUUGACAGACGAACAAACAGUAUUACAGGGGUUAAAUAACUUUCCUAAGAUCACAUAACUAGUAUAUGGCAAAGCCAACAUUCAAGCUCAAGUCUGUCUGAUUCUAAAGACUAGGGUCCUUAUGGCCUGUGCCUCGAGUUUAGCAAUCACUGCCCUAGGUGAAGCCUUAUCCCUUCUUCGUAUUGGUCUUUCACUCUUUUUUUCAGUUUCUUUUUUACCUUUAUUAUAUUUUCUAAAGUUAAGUUUGUAAGGGUAUAAUAUACAAAAUAAAAUUCACUCCUUUUAAGUACAGUUUGAUGAGUUUUGACAAAUGUGUAUGGUUGUGGAACUACCACCAUAAUCAAGACACAGAACAUUUCCAUCAUCCCAAAAAGUUCUUCUUGACCUUUUACAGUCAAUCCCCUGCCCUAGUUUCUGACUAUGGCAAUUACCAAUCUGAUUUUUCUCUCUAUAGUUUUGCCUUUAAGGAAUGUAACAUAAAUGGAAUAAUAUAGUGUGUAACCUUUGGUAUCUGGCUACCUUCACUUAACAUAAAGCUUUUGAUUUCAUCCUUGUUUUUGUGGGUAUCAAUAGUUCAGUCCUUUUUAUGGCUGAGUAGUAUUCCUUUGCAUCCAUGUAUCUCUGUUGGUUCAUCCAUUCACCAGAUAAAGGACAUUUGAGUUGUUUCCAGUUUGGGGCUACUAUGAAUAAAGCUUCUAGAAACAUUCACAUACAGGUCUUUGUAUGAACACAGGUUUUCUUUUGUCUUGGUUAAACAAAUACAUAGGGGUAGGGUUAUAGGUCAUAUAGAAAAUGUAUGUGUAUGCUUGACUUUAUAAGAAUCCCUCAAAAUGUUUUCCAAAGUGGCUAUGUAAUUUUGCAUACCAACCAGCAAUGAAUAAGAGCUCUAGUUGCUCCUUAACCAGAACUUAAUAUUGCCAAUCUUUUUAAUUUUAGCCACGCUAAUAUGUACGUAGUGGUAUCUCAUUAUGGUUUCUAUUUGCAUUUCCCUAAUGACUAGUGAUGUUGAGCAUCUAUUUAAUGUGCUUAUUUGCUAUCCAUAUGUCUUCUUUAGUGAAAAAUCUAUUCAAAUCUGUUAUUAAUUUUUUAAUUGGAUACUUCAUCUUUUGAUUGUUGAAUUUGGGGAGUUCUAUGUUCUAUGUACAAGUUCUUUAUCAGAUAUGUGUUUUACAAAUAUUUUCUCCAAAGCUAUAGCUUGACUUCUCACUUUCUUCUCAGUGUCUUUCAAAGAGCAGAAGUUCUUAAUUCUGAUUAGUGCAAUUUAUUGAUUUAUUUUCUUUCAUGAUUCCUGCUUUUUAUUUUCUAGGUAAGAAAGCUUUGCCUAAGCCAACAUUGCAAAAAUUUUCUCUUACAUUUUCUUUUGGAUAUUUCAUAGUUUUAACUUUUAUAUUUUGGUCUAGGAUCUGUUUUGAUUUAACUUGCCCAUGGUGCAAGGUAGGACCAAAGUUCACUCCUUUGCCUAUGGAUAUUCAAUUUUUUGAACAUCAUUUAUUUUUUUAAUUAAUUUUUUCAAAGAUUGGCACCUGAGUUGACUAUUGCCAAUCUUCUUUUUUUUUUUCAGCCGUUUCUCCCCAAAUCCCCCAAGUACAUAGUUGCAUAUUUUAGUUGUGGGUCCUUCUAACUGCGGCAUGUGGGACGCCACCUCAGCAUGGCCUGAUGAGCGGUGCCAUGUCCACGCCCAGGAUCCGAACCGGUGAAACCGUGGGCGGCCAAAACAGAGCACGUGAACUUAACCACUCGGCCACGGGGCCGGCCCCUGAAGACCAUUUAUGAGGAGACUAUCCUUUACCCGUUAAUUUAUGCUGGUACAUGUAUCAAAAGCAAUCAACCAUCCAUGGUUGUCUUAAAUGCUGUAGCUUUAUAACAAGUCUUGAGUCAGGUAGUAUAGGCUCUCUAACUUUACUCCUCCUUUCCAAAAUCAUUUUGGAUAGUCUAGGUCUUUGCAUCUGAUAUAAAGUCAGCAUGUUAAUUUUGCCAAAAAGGCUUGCUGGGAUUUUGAUUGGAAUUGUACCGAAUCUAUUGACCAAUUUGGCAUCUUAACAAUAUUGAGUUUUCUAAUCCAUGAAUGUUAUUUAAGUCUUCUUUAAUUUCAGCAAUGUUUUGCAGUUUUCUAUGUACAAGUCUUACUUUUGUAAUUAAAUCUAGUCCUAUUUCAUUUUUUGAUAAUAUAAAUUUUUUAAAAUUUCAGUAUCCAAUUGUUUAUAACCUUGUAACCAGUGACCUUGGUAAACUCAUUUGUUCUAGAAGCUGUUUUGUGGAUUAUUUGGGAUUUUCUAUGCAAAUGAUUAUGUGACCUGUGAAUAAAGACAUAUUACCUCUUCCUUUCAAA
rnacentral:lncRNA from 1 species